AACGAACGCUGGCGGCAUGCCUAACACAUGCAAGUCGAACGAUUGCCUUCGGGUGAUAGUGGCGCACGGGUGCGUAACGCGUGGGAAUCUGCCCUUAGGUUCGGAAUAACAGCUGGAAACGGCUGCUAAUACCGGAUGAUAUCGCGAGAUCAAAGAUUUAUCGCCUGAGGAUGAGCCCGCGUUGGAUUAGGUAGUUGGUGGGGUAAAGGCCUACCAAGCCGACGAUCCAUAGCUGGUCUGAGAGGAUGAUCAGCCACACUGGGACUGAGACACGGCCCAGACUCCUACGGGAGGCAGCAGUGGGGAAUAUUGGACAGUGGGCGCAAGCCUGAUCCAGCAAUGCCGUGUGAGUGAUGAAGGCCCUAGGGUUGUAAAGCUCUUUUACCCGGGAAGAUAAUGACUGUACCGGGAGAAUAAGCCCCGGCUAACUCCGUG
rnacentral:rRNA from 1 species